AAAUCUGUAUGAGUGGAGUGGUCCAUUCAGUCUCUCAGAGAAAGAAUUUAUCAUACGUGUGGUCCAAAUAAAGAAUACAUUAAAGUUUAGUAUCUUCAAAAAGAAGAUCCAUACCUAAAUGCUGCAACCAGCUCUACCUACAAGGUAUUCUAUAUUCGUGGGACCCUGAAGACUGCUACCACACAUCAUUUUGUUUCUCUCUAUUAGGAGCACAUUGCAGAAUGCCUAUAUUCCCCAACGUACGUUCAGGGGCCAUGGAGGGGAUGGAUUAGCCCACUGUCAUAUAAUCUGUGGUGCUGCAUGGUUUCCUCUUCACUGGACCACUGAGAGACUCAACACUGCAAACUCAGUCUAAAACACUUUGGAAUAAAAUGUCCUAUCAUAAUUUCCUUUCUUGCGUUUUGUUUUUGGUGGUGCUUGGUUAGUUGUGUGCUGGUCUGUGGAACAGAAGUUUCAGGUAAAUAAUCAAUCUAUGUUAUCUAGCCCCCACAUCCAGCUGUGCAGGCUCCUCACCAGCCCUGACACACAUUGCCUGCAUUCCUUUCCUGAGCAGGAGCAAGAUCC
ensembl:lncRNA